CAAGACCGGUGCCAGCCGCCGCGGUAACACCGGCGGCUCGAGUGGUAACCGCUAUUAUUGGGUCUAAAGGGUCUGUAGCCGGCCGACUAAGUCUCUUGGGAAAUCUGGCAUCUCAAGUGUCAGGCUGCCAGGGGAUACUGGUCGGCUUGGGACCGGGAGAGGUGAGAGGUACCUCGGGGGUAGGGGUGAAAUCUUGUAAUCCUCGAGGGACCACCAGUGGCGAAGGCGUCUCACCAGAACGGAUCCGACGGCAAGGGACGAA
rnacentral:rRNA from 1 species